AGAGUUUGAUCAUGGCUCAGAUUGAACGCUGGCGGCAGGCCUAACACAUGCAAGUCGAACGGUAGCACAGAGAGCUUGCUCUCGGGUGACGAGUGGCGGACGGGUGAGUAAUGUCUGGGAAACUGCCUGAUGGAGGGGGAUAACUACUGGAAACGGUAGCUAAUACCGCAUAACGUCGCAAGACCAAAGAGGGGGACCUUCGGGCCUCUUGCCAUCAGAUGUGCCCAGAUGGGAUUAGCUAGUAGGUGGGGUAAUGGCUCACCUAGGCGACGAUCCCUAGCUGGUCUGAGAGGAUGACCAGCCACACUGGAACUGAGACACGGUCCAGACUCCUACGGGAGGCAGCAGUGGGGAAUAUUGCACAAUGGGCGCAAGCCUGAUGCAGCCAUGCCGCGUGUAUGAAGAAGGCCUUCGGGUUGUAAAGUACUUUCAGCGGGGAGGAAGGUGUUGUGGUUAAUAACCACAGCAAUUGACGUUACCCGCAGAAGAAGCACCGGCUAACUCCGUGCCAGCAGCCGCGGUAAUACGGAGGGUGCAAGCGUUAAUCGGAAUUACUGGGCGUAAAGCGCACGCAGGCGGUCUGUCAAGUCGGAUGUGAAAUCCCCGGGCUCAACCUGGGAACUGCAUUCGAAACUGGCAGGCUAGAGUCUUGUAGAGGGGGGUAGAAUUCCAGGUGUAGCGGUGAAAUGCGUAGAGAUCUGGAGGAAUACCGGUGGCGAAGGCGGCCCCCUGGACAAAGACUGACGCUCAGGUGCGAAAGCGUGGGGAGCAAACAGGAUUAGAUACCCUGGUAGUCCACGCCGUAAACGAUGUCGAUUUGGAGGUUGUGCCCUUGAGGCGUGGCUUCCGGAGCUAACGCGUUAAAUCGACCGCCUGGGGAGUACGGCCGCAAGGUUAAAACUCAAAUGAAUUGACGGGGGCCCGCACAAGCGGUGGAGCAUGUGGUUUAAUUCGAUGCAACGCGAAGAACCUUACCUGGUCUUGACAUCCACAGAACUUUCCAGAGAUGGAUUGGUGCCUUCGGGAACUGUGAGACAGGUGCUGCAUGGCUGUCGUCAGCUCGUGUUGUGAAAUGUUGGGUUAAGUCCCGCAACGAGCGCAACCCUUAUCCUUUGUUGCCAGCGGUUAGGCCGGGAACUCAAAGGAGACUGCCAGUGAUAAACUGGAGGAAGGUGGGGAUGACGUCAAGUCAUCAUGGCCCUUACGACCAGGGCUACACACGUGCUACAAUGGCGCAUACAAAGAGAAGCGACCUCGCGAGAGCAAGCGGACCUCAUAAAGUGCGUCGUAGUCCGGAUUGGAGUCUGCAACUCGACUCCAUGAAGUCGGAAUCGCUAGUAAUCGUAGAUCAGAAUGCUACGGUGAAUACGUUCCCGGGCCUUGUACACACCGCCCGUCACACCAUGGGAGUGGGUUGCAAAAGAAGUAGGUAGCUUAACCUUCGGGAGGGCGCUUACCACUUUGUGAUUCAUGACUGGGGUGAAGUCGUAACAAGGUAACCGUAGGGGAACCUGCGGUUG
rnacentral:rRNA from 1 species